rnacentral:rRNA from 1 species
GAUGAACGCUAGCGGCAGGCCUAAUACAUGCAAGUCGAACGGUGUCUUCGGACAUAGUGGCGCACGGGUGCGUAACACGUAUGCGACCUACCUUACAUCGGGGGAUAGCCUUUCGAAAGGGAGAUUAAUACCGCAUAAGACAGUAGCUGGGCAUCCAGCAGCUGUUAAAGAUUUAUCGAUGUAAGCUGGGCAUGCGUCCAAUUAGCUAGUUGGUGAGGUAACGGCUCACCAAGGCAAUGAUUGGUAGGGGAACUGAGAGGGCAAUCCCCACACUGGCACUGAGAUACGGGCCAGACUCCUACGGGAGGCAGCAGUAGGGAAUAUUGGGCAAUGGACGCAAGUCUGACCCAGCCAUGCCGCGUGCAGGAUGAAGGCGUUAUGCGUUGUAAACUGCUUUUAUACAGGAAGAAACGACUCUUGCGAGAGGCAUUGACGGUACUGUAUGAAUAAGCACCGGCUAACUCCGUGCCAGCCGCCGCAGUAACAC